rnacentral:pre_miRNA from 1 species
AGGAGGAACAACCGCAGUGGUGGCGGCCAGCUAUGGAGCCCUGGAUUCAGCUCCCGCAGUAACUCCAGAGCUCUCUGUCUGCAGGGCGUGGAGGCUCCUGAGGCGGG